UACGAAGGGGGCUAGCGUUGCUCGGAAUCACUGGGCGUAAAGGGUGCGUAGGCGGGUCUUUAAGUCAGGGGUGAAAUCCUGGAGCUCAACUCCAGAACUGCCUUUGAUACUGAAGAUCUUGAGUCCGGGAGAGGUGAGUGGAACUGCGAGUGGAGCGGUGAAAUGCGUUGAUAUUCACAGGAACUCCGGUGGCGAAGGCGGCUCGCUGGACCUCUUCUGACGCUGAGGCGCGAAAGCCAGGGGAGCAAACGGG
rnacentral:rRNA from 1 species